rnacentral:rRNA from 1 species
CACGUAGGGUGCGAGCGUUGUCCGGAAUUAUUGGGCGUAAAGAGCUCGUAGGCGGUGUGUCGCGUCGGCCGUGAAAACCUGCAGCUUAACUGUGGGCUUGCGGUCGAUACGGGCAUCACUGGAGUUCGGCAGGGGAGACUGGAAUUCCUGGUGUAGCGGUGAAAUGCGCAGAUAUCAGGAGGAACACCGGUGGCGAAGGCAGCUCACUGGGACGGUAUUGACGCUGAGACGCGAAAGCGUGGGGAGCAAACAGG